GCGGAAUUACUGUUCAUCUCUUACAAAAUUGGAACGAUACAGAGAAGAGUAUGACCCCUGUGUAAGGACGACAUGCGUAAAUCGAGAACAAAUAUGAAUUUGG